GCCUUACAUUAAAGUUUGGGGUCUAUUUUGAGUUGAUUAUUGUACAGGGUGAGAGAUAGUGAUCUAGUUUCAAUCUUCUGCUUGUGGGUAUCUGAUUUCUCAGAUCAUUUGUUGAAGAGACUGUCCUUUAUUCAGCGUGAGUUUUUGGCACCUUUGUCAAGAAUCAGUUGGUUGACUAUGCAUGGAUUUAUUUCUGGGUUCUUGAUUUUCUUCUCUUGGUCUACAUAUCUAUCUUUAUGUGAAUAACAUGCUGUUUUUUGUUACUAUGGCUCUGUAGUGUGUUUUGAAAUCAUGUAUUAUAAAUCCUUCAGCAUUGCUCUCUUUGCUCAGGAUUGCUCUGGCUAUUCUGGGUCUUUUGUGUUUCCAUGUGGAUUUUUAGGUUUAUUCUAUGAAGAAUGUCAUUGGUAUUUUGAUGGGGAUUGCACUAAAUCUGUAGAUCACUUUGGGUAGAAUGACCAUUUCAACAAUAUUGAUUCUCCAGUCCAAGAUUGUGGGUGGUCUUUCCAUCUUUUAGUAUCUCCUUCAGUAUCUUUAUUCAGUGUUUUGCAAUAUUCGAUGUAAAGGUUUUUCACAUCCUUGAUUGGGUUUAUUCCAAGGGUUAUUUUGUGUAUGGCUAAUACUUAUGGGACGUCUUUCUGAUUUCUUUCUUAGUAACUUCAUUAUUGGUAUAUAAUAAGAGUAUUGAUUUUUGUAUGUUGAUUUUCAUAUCCUGAUAUUUUACUGAAAUUCUUUAUCAGGUCUAAAAGUCUUUCAGUGCAAGUAUUUUCUAUAUAUAGAAUCAUUAGCAAAUAGGGAUAAUUUGACUUUCCUGUUCCUUAAUUGUGUACCUUUUAUUUCAUUCUCUUGUCUAAUUGUUCUGGCUAAAACUUCUAGUAUUAUAUCAAAUAAGGGUGAAGGUGGACUUUCUUGGAUCUUAGAAGAAAUGCUUUCAGUUUCCCCACUUAGUAUGAUAUUGGCCAUGGGUUUGUCACAUGUUGUCCUUAUUGUGUUGAGUUAGGAUCCUUCUGUGCCUAAUUUAUUCAGGAAUUUUAUCAUGAAGGGAUGUUAAGCUUUAACACAAGCUUGUCCUGCAUAUAUUGAGAUGAUCAUAUGGUUCUUAUCCUUGAUUUUAUUCAUGUACUGUGUUACACUCAUUGAUUUGCAAGUGUGGCAUGCAACCUUGUAUUCCUGAAACCAACUUGAUCAUGGUGAAUGCUUUUUUAAUGUUUUGUUUGUUUUUAAGUGAUAAUAUUUCUCUUUCCAAGGGAUGUGGGUUUUUUCGUUUUUGUUUUUGUUUUAACUUUGUUUGAAAAUAUCUUUUGGGAACUUUCAUGGGGAGAAGUAUUACAUUACCUUUAGUAGUCAGUUGCAUAUAUAUUUUGAAUUCUUUUCACAUUGAAUUUCUGUUGAGAAAUCAAUGCAUAUCUGUCACUUUGAUAUCAUUGCUUAUAGUUUAAUCCAACUAAUUUUUUGUGCCUUUAGCUCAAAUACUACAGUGACUUAUGCUGUACAUUUUUGCCAUUAGCCAUGACAUUGAUUAAAGAGACCCCGAUAUGUUUAGUUUGAACUCUCUUCCAAGCCUGCAAUGGUUAGAAUAAGUGUACCUGUAAUUUUACUCCUAAGAUCACAGGCACAUUAUAAGCACCUUACUAUAUACAGUGCUUGCCUUGGUCACAAAAAUAUCUAUAGGAAUUAAAAUGUGGUUCUGUUUUUUCUGGUAAUAUGUCUUAUGAAAAUCUAACAAAAUAUGUUUCUUUGAGGUAUGAGUUUUAUGAUGGCUUUAAUAAUUACCUACCACCAAAAAAAUACAUGUAUUUUAGUUGGCAACAGAGAAUUUUUAAACGGAGGGAAGCAAAUGACUAAAUUGGCCAGGCGGCCAUAUAGUUAGAGGGCAACUCAGGACACCCAGAGCAAUAUAAGCAAAGUCUAUGUAGAUAGGUUACUAAUUAUUAGAGUAGAAUUUCAAGUAAAUUCCCUCUGGGUAUUAUAAGAACAGGUUUAUCCAGUACUUUUCCUAGCCCAAAUCUUUAAUUGGUAUUUUCAUAAGUGUUUCAAUAGUAGGUGACUAAAGUUUGAUAAUCAAACAGGAUAAUCCCCACACUGCCCUCAUAUAUCUUAGAAUCCAGCAGGCAAAUAUAAUUCAUAUUCAGUAAGAAGCUAUAAUGAAAUUUUAUAAUGUCUUUGAUUAGGGAAGGUUGAGACUGCUGUGUGAACUCAAGAGAGAAAUAACAGAGAUAUUUGAGCUGAUUUGAAAAGAUAAGUAGAAGCCAAGAGAUGAGGCAAGGGUUAUAGAUAGAGAGAACAAAAUGAAGGAAGCCUGGACUGGGGGAAGAAGCUUCAGCAUUUUUGAAGAAUUGAAAAUGGUUUGUUGUUAGGAACAUGCAGGGUGUCUUGAUUGUGCACAUAUAUGUCGUGGUAUAGGUGGCAUAGUUUUGUGAUAAUGCUGUAGAGGUAGGCAGAAAGGACCAUAUAAAUCAUUUGAACCAACAAAGGCACAGUGUGAGUGAGGACUCAAAUUCUUUGGUUCCAGUCAGUCAUGAAUAUCAGAUAUAACCCUUUGGCCAUAGAGAACUACAAAAGAAUGAAAGCAACUGGUUUUUGGCAUUGCACAGACAUAUAGAACCGUGAUCCUUGAAAGAAGAGCUUUGAAUUCUCCCCGCUUGUUUCCCUGGAUACCUUCCAAAUAGCAAUAAAAGGAAGUGGAGCCCAGAGAGCAGCAGUCUGGGCAUAAGAAGCAGAAGUUGGCAUUUCAGGCUGCAGAGAAAGCUGCAUUUGGGGGUAGGGAACUGGAAGGUGGGGCCUGCUGAGAGAAGCUCCAGAAAUCUGCAAAAGAGUUUCCUUGACCAACUGUCAAGCUGAAUAUGUGCAGGGCAAAACUCUGCCAGCCCUUACCUAGAAUAACUUUUUGAAGGUCAUGAGAUAAAUGGAAAUUCCAGAAAGUGCACAGUGCUGGGAAACAUGGAGUUUCAAUCAGCCCUGAGUGGAGAGAUCACCGUGAACAUCACAAGCAUUCAGCUGACCCUGCCAAAGCCACAGCUUAGGAACAGAGCUAUAGUAGCCCUAGAUUGAGUACUACUCUAGACCUACCAUAACAAUGCUCCUGAACAAACCUUGAAAAAGUAAAAGUGAUCAUUCAGGAAAUAAAACUGUCUGCUAGAACAAGUCUCAACUAUCUUCCAAGGAAAUCAACAAAAUCUACACUCAUUAACAAUUUGGUAUCCACCAUCUAGAUAAAUACUACCAGGUAGGUAAGAAACAGGAAAAUCACACAUACUUAAGGAAAUCAGAUCAAGAGAAACAGAUCCAAAGAUGACAGAGAUGUAGAAAUUUUCAAGGACAUUACAACAUAAUGAGUACACAGAUGAGGAAUCUCAGAAAAUAAAAGGAGACUAUAAAAAGGAAACCAAAUGGAAAUUCUAGACAUAAACACUGUGCUGUCUUGAGAAAAACAACAUUAUUGGAGAGGUUUAACAAUAGAUUGCUUACUGUAGAAGAAAAAGUUGGUGAACUUGAAUCCAGGUCAGUAGAAACUACUCAGACCAGAGAGCAAGAGGAAAAAGAAGUGAUUGAACAGAACCUUAGUAAAUGUUGGAUAAUAAUGAGUGGCUUAAGGAAGCAUAAUAGAAAUAAUAGUUGAAAUUUUCUCAAAUGUGAUGAAAUCAACCCACAGAUUUGCAAAGCCAAGCAGGAUAAACAUGAGAACUACACUUGGGCACAUUAGUCAAAUCACUAAAAAACAACCAUGAGGGGAGAAAAUAGAGAAAAUCAUAAAAUCAGCCAGAGGGAAAAAGCAAGCAGAGAAGAUUGACCACUGGCAUAUGGUCAGAGUCAAUAGAAGCAGGAAUACAGUGUGGUGGUAUCAUUAAAAUGCCACAGGGUACAAACCUAUCAGCUGCACACUGAAGCUCUCCUGAUGGUCAUGCCAAAAAUCAAUCAAGAAGCCAGAAGUGAUAGAUCUGCAAAUGAAUACAAAAUACUGUUUUUCAUGUUUUAAUUUCUUCAAAAGGUAAGUGAGGGGUUGUAACAUUUUGAGGUAAACUAAAUGACAACUAAGGGAGGGAUGGAGAAAAGGAAGUGUACUGCUGUAUGAGUUUUGAUCUUGUGUGGAAAGGGAUGUAAUAAUAAAGAUGUAUUGGGAUAAGUUUAGAAUGCAUUUUGUAAUCUAUAGAACAGCCACCAACAGCAACCAAGACCCAGUAAAUGGUCUGUAGCUAAGUACCAAGAGAAAAGGUAAAAUGGAAUACCAGACUUACUCAGUUUAAUCUAGCAGAAGCCAGGAUAAAAGAAAAGUGGUAACCAAGAAUGGAUGAAACUGAACAGAAAUCAAAUAGUAAGAUAAGAGGCUGAAGUACAGCCAUGUCAAUAAUUGUGUAUAUUAUAUAUAGCAACAGUUAAAUGAAAAUUCAAAUUAAAAAGCAAAGAUUUUCAGACCAGAUUUAAAUAUAGCAAAACUCAGAUAUGUGUGUUUUACAUGCAACACAUUUUAAAAUAUGAAGACAGUUUAAAGUAAAAGAAAGGAGAAGAUACCUUGUGAAAGACUAAUCAUGAGAAAGUGGAAGUGGUUAUAUUAUAUUAGACAAAGUAGAUAUCAAGAUGAAGACUAUUACCAGUUUAAGAGGAGCACUUUAUAACAACACAGUUCAUUUUAAGGAGACAUAACAACCCUUAGUGGGUAUGUAGGUUAACAAUAGAGCUUCAAAAUACGUGGAACAAAAUCUUACCAGAAGUAAGGCAGAAACAAACCCAAAGUUGCAGUUGGAGAUUGUAAUACUCCUUUCUCAAUAACAAGUAAUUCAUUAAACACAUGAACUAAAGUAGUAAUAGGGACAGAACGUUUGAGCAACAUAAUCAACAAGUUAACCUAAUUGGCAUGUCAGAAUACUCCACCUAAUCUGGCAGUACAAAUUUUUUUAAUCAAAAUAGAUAAUAUAUUAGGCCAUAAAAUAAUCCUCAGUGAAUAUCAAAGAAUUGAAAUCAUGUAGCAGAAAAGAUACAGAAAAUCCCCAAAUAUUUGUAAAUAAACCCAUGGGUAUUUGAACUGAGUAAUAAUGAAAAGGCAAUCUAACAAUUGGUGGUAAGCAGCCUAAUCAGCACUGGUGAGGACCUGUGCUGCUUCAGUUGCUUGUGAUGGUGUGAUGGUUGCUUUUAUCUGUCAAUUUGGCUAGGCUGUUGUACCCAGAUGCUUGUCUAGUAUCAGUCUAGUUGCUGGGAAGGUACUUUUUAGUUGAGAUUAACAUUUAACUCAGUAGACACUGAGUAAAAAACUAUUCUCCAUAAAGUAGGUAGGCUUCAGCCAAUCAAUCAAAGGGCUUAGGGAAAAAGUCUGAGGUCCCUAGGAAAGACUUUGCCUCUAGAUUUCCUUUGGUUGUGGGCUAUAUCAACUCUCCCUUGGGUCUCCAGCCUGCCAACCAAGCCUGCAGAAUUCAGACUUGCUGCCUCCAUAAUUACAUAUGCCAGUUCCUUAAAAUAAAUCAGUACACACAUAUAAGCAUACAUGCAUGUUCUAUUGGCUGUGUUUCUGAUGAACCCAAUUAGAAAA
rnacentral:lncRNA from 1 species